rnacentral:rRNA from 1 species
AGCGAACGCUGGCGGCAGGCCUAACACAUGCAAGUCGAACGAACUCUUCGGAGUUAGUGGCGGACGGGUGAGUAACACGUGGGAACGUGCCUUUAGGUUCGAAAUAACUCAGGGAAACUUGUGCUAAUACCGACUGUGCCCUUCGGGGGAAAGAUUUAUCGCCUUUAGAGCGGCCCGCGUCUGAUUAGCUAGUUGGUGAGGUAAAGGCUCACCAAGGCGACGAUCAGUAGCUGGUCUGAGAGGAUGAUCAGCCACAUUGGGACUGAGACACGGACCAAAAGGCUCCGGGAGGCGGCAGUGGGGAAUCUUGCGCAAUGGGCGAAAGCCGGACGCAGCCAUGCCGCGCGAAUGAUGAAGGUCUUAGGAUUGUAAAAUUCUUUCACCGGGGACGAUAAUGACGGUACCCGGAGAAGAAGCCCCGGCUAACUUCGUGCCAGCAGCCGCGGUAA